AGUGCAACUGCUGGGUCAUAGGGUUGUUCUAUUUUUAAUUUUUGAGGAACAUCCAUACUGUUUUCCAGAGUGACUGCACCCGUUUGCAGUCCCACCAGCAGU
rnacentral:pre_miRNA from 1 species